UACAGAGGGUGCUAGCGUUGUUCGGAAUCAUUGGGCGUAAAGGGCGCGUAGGCGGUGCGGUAAGUCACCUGUGAAAUCUCCUGGCUCAACUGGGAGCUUGCAGGCGAAACUGCCGUGCUGGAGUGUGGGAGAGGUGCGUGGAAUUCCUGGUGUAGCGGUGAAAUGCGUAGAUAUCAGGAGGAACACCUGUGGCGAAAGCGGCGCACUGGACCACAACUGACGCUGAGGCGCGAAAGCUAGGGGAGCAAACAGG
rnacentral:rRNA from 1 species